AUUGAACGCUGGCGGCAUGCCUUACACAUGCAAGUCGAACGGUAACGGGCCUUCGGGUGCCGACGAGUGGCGAACGGGUGAGUAAUGUAUCGGAACGUACCUUUCAGUGGGGGAUAACGUAGCGAAAGUUACGCUAAUACCGCAUACGAUCUACGGAUGAAAGCGGGGGAUCGCAAGACCUCGCGCGAAUGGAGCGGCCGAUGUCAGAUUAGGUAGUUGGUGGGGUAAAGGCUCACCAAGCCAACGAUCUGUAGCUGGUCUGAGAGGACGACCAGCCACACUGGAACUGAGACACGGUCCAGACUCCUACGGGAGGCAGCAGUGGGGAAUUUUGGACAAUGGGCGCAAGCCUGAUCCAGCCAUUCCGCGUGCAGGAUGAAGGCCUUCGGGUUGUAAACUGCUUUUGUACGGAACGAAACGGUCUGCCCUAAUACGGCGGGCUAAUGACGGUACCGUAAGAAUAAGCACCGGCUAACUACGUG
rnacentral:rRNA from 1 species